UAUUCUGUCCCACGGGGAAGGAUGAGAAGCUUCGAAUAAGGUUCGACUCGAGCGAAGCGAGAGAACGUUGCCGCAGGCAACGGCCCGAAGGGCGA
rnacentral:sRNA from 1 species